UACGUAGGGUGCAAGCGUUGUCCGGAAUUAUUGGGCGUAAAGAGCUCGUAGGCGGUCUGUCGCGUCGGAUGUGAAAGCCCGGGGCUUAACCCCGGGUCUGCAUUCGAUACGGGCAGACUAGAGUGUGGUAGGGGAGAUCGGAAUUCCUGGUGUAGCGGUGAAAUGCGCAGAUAUCAGGAGGAAUACCGAUGGCGAAGGCAGGUCUCUGGGCUGAAACUGACGCUCAUGCACGAAAGCGUGGGGAGCAAACAGG
rnacentral:rRNA from 1 species